ACAAACUUGGUCAUUUAGAGGAAGUAAAAGUCGUAACAAGGUUUCCGUAGGUGAACCUGCGGAAGGAUCAUUAUCAAUAGGGGCACCCUCUUUAGCUAGGGAGCAAACCUUUACCCUGUGUUUAUCAUACCUUGUCGUUGCUUCGGCGGACCGGUCAUCUCGACCGCCGGGGGGUGGUACAACUGCCCUGGAGAGCGUCCGUCGACGGCCUACUACAAAACUCUUAUACUUAAUCCUGUCGUCUGAAUUAUGAUUGAUAAAUAUAAACCAAAACUUUCAACAACGGAUCUCUUGGUUCUGGCAUCGAUGAAGAACGCAGC
rnacentral:misc_RNA from 1 species